GGGGGUUUAGCUCAGCGGCAUAAGCACCUGCCUUGAAAGCAGGCAGUCCUGAGUUCGAUCCCCGGUACCGGUA
rnacentral:tRNA from 1 species